rnacentral:rRNA from 1 species
UGGGGAAUUUUGGACAAUGGGCGCAAGCCUGAUCCAGCCAUGCCGCGUGCGGGAAGAAGGCCUUCGGGUUGUAAACCGCUUUUGUCAGGGAAGAAAUCUUCUGAGUUAAUACCUCGGGAGGAUGACGGUACCUGAAGAAUAAGCACCGGCUAACUACGUGCCAGCAGCCGCGGUAAUACGUAGGGUGCAAGCGUUAAUCGGAAUUACUGGGCGUAAAGCGUGCGCAGGCGGUUUUGUAAGACAGAGGUGAAAUCCCCGGGCUCAACCUGGGAACUGCCUUUGUGACUGCAAGGCUUGAGUGCGGCAGAGGGGGAUGGAAUUCCGCGUGUAGCAGUGAAAUGCGUAGAUAUGCGGAGGAACACCGAUGGCGAAGGCAAUCCACUGGGCCUGCACUGACGCUCAUGCACGAAAGCGUGGGGAGCAAACAGAUUAGAUACCCUGGUAGUCCACGCCCUAAAACGAUGUCAACUGGUUGUUGGGAAGGUUCCUUCUCAGUAACGUAGCUAACGCGUGAAGUUGACCGCCUGGGGAGUACGGCCGC